CAGCCUGAUGAGCACGCCGCGUGGGGGAUGAAGGCCUUCGGGUUGUAAACCCCUUUUAGCAGGGAAGAAGCGAAAGUGACGGUACCUGCAGAAAAAGCGCCGGCUAACUACGUGCCAGCAGCCGCGGUAAUACGUAGGGCGCAAGCGUUGUCCGGAAUUAUUGGGCGUAAAGAGCUCGUAGGCGGUUUGUCGCGUCUGCUGUGAAAGUCCGAGGCUCAACCUCGGAUCUGCAGUGGGUACGGGCAGACUAGAGUAUGGUAGGGGAGACUGGAAUUCCUGGUGUAGCGGUGGAAUGCGCAGAUAUCAGGAGGAACACCAAUGGCGAAGGCAGGUCUCUGGGCCAUAACUGACGCUGAGGAGCGAAAGCGUGGGGAGCGAACAGGAUUAGAUACCCUGGUAGUCCACGCCGUAAACGGUGGGCACUAGAUGUGGGGCUCUUUCCAUGAGUUCCGCGUCGCAGCUAACGCAUUAAGUGCCCCGCCUGGGGAGUACGGCCGCAAGGCUAAAACUC
rnacentral:rRNA from 1 species